rnacentral:snRNA from 1 species
AUGCUCGCUUUGGCAGCACAUAUACUAAAAUUGGAACGAUACAGAGACGAUUAGCAUGGCCCCUGCACAAGUAUGACACGCAAAUUCAUGAAGCGUUCCAUGUUUAA